rfam:Gossypium arboreum cultivar AKA8401 contig_884_13, whole genome shotgun sequence.
AACCCAUGGUGAGGGCACCUUCGCAAAAUUUCUUUGUCUCUCUCCCAUGCAUCAUAGAGUGUUUCUAAAUCCAUCUGCACAAAAGAGAAGAUAUCAUUACAUAAUUU